rnacentral:rRNA from 1 species
CCCACCUCUUCCCAUUCCGAACAGAGAAGUUAAGCCCGCCUGCGCCGAUGGUACUGCAAUGCAAUGCGGGAGAGUAGGAGGCCGCCCCCU